GAAGCAAGUCUCCGCAGCAAUGUUCCAACAUAUGGCGAAAAGCCUUCCCAUAAGAUUGGAGGCUGUUAUAGCAGCAAAGGGGGGAACAACUCCAAAUUAAUGCACAUGAUUUUCGACGAGCAGGUGUCCAAAUACUUUUGGUCGUGUAAUGUAUCUUUUUUUUAUUUGAACGACUCUUUAUCGCUGAAGAAAGAUAAAGCCCAUAUGUUUCUUAAUCAUAGCGCAAGUGAUGAUUAUUAUAGAUUCUAAAUAUCAAAACGCAGCAUCCGGAUUGUAGUUGACAUAAGGCAGUCAUGGGCGAAGCUAAUGGCUCAGAACUGUAAAGGCGUAAUGCCGCCUAGAGGUUGAGAGCUAGGCGGGAUCUAGUUUUUGUCAAAUUAACGUCAACAUUUUUUUGCAUUUUCGCUAACCUAACCUCUUUAUCUAACCUAACCCUUGCCAUGCCAGGAACCAAGUCGGUAAUGGAUGUCUUUCUAAUUUGCAUUAUCUCUGACAAAAGAAUAUGCCUCAACGAUAAAACGGAUUACCCAAUCUAGCAGCAUGAACCUCAAAGACAGACUGUUAAUGGUCACCAUGGCAUCGUGAGAAGUGACCGCAUCCCCUACUGGUGGAUCUGUCCUGCAUCCUGGAGUCUCUGAAAACGGUCCUUCUAGAAGACUGCUGUGCACUUUGGACGGAGGCCUCUACCCUCCCCCGGAGGAGCCCACUGGUACUGUAGACCCCAAGAAGAAGAAGAAGAAGGUCAAAGACGAGGUCAAGAGCUUUGUGUGGAACCAUGGCAUACCAGGUGCAGGUAGACGGUGUGAAGGCCAAGCUGAAGGAGACGGGCGCCCGCAAGAAACAACAGGAGGACCUCAUUAUGAAGGUGGAGAACCAGGUGCUGAAACUGGCCUCGCUUCAGGAGCAGCUGGACUCACUGAUCGAGAAGUGACCCAAGUGACCACCAGGGGGCAGCCAAGUGUCAAAUGGGUGCUGUGAGACCGGCUGGGGAAUAGAGAAGAAGCAUCUGCCACCACUGAAAGAGCCCUCCUCCUUUACAUACUGUUUCAUUCCAUUAUAUAUUUUCCCUUUUGCCUCCAGACAUCAUGGACUCGUUGGAGGACUCGUGUUUCCUGUUUUUGUAUUCUUCCUAUUUUAUUUAAUAGGUUGGUAGAUCUCUGUAAAUAAACUCGUUAAGCCAUUGAA